rnacentral:rRNA from 1 species
GACGAACGCUGGCGGCGUGCUUAACACAUGCAAGUCGAACGGAAAGGCCCUGCUUUUGUGGGGUGCUCGAGUGGCGAACGGGUGAGUAACACGUGAGUAACCUGCCCUUGACUUUGGGAUAACUUCAGGAAACUGGGGCUAAUACCGGAUAGGAGCUCCUGCUGCAUGGUGGGGGUUGGAAAGUUUCGGCGGUUGGGGAUGGACUCGCGGCUUAUCAGCUUGUUGGUGGGGUAGUGGCUUACCAAGGCUUUGACGGGUAGCCGGCCUGAGAGGGUGACCGGCCACAUUGGGACUGAGAUACGGCCCAGACGCCUACGGGAGGCAGCAGUGGGGAAUAUUGCACAAUGGGCGGAAGCCUGAUGCAGCAACGCCGCGUGCGGGAUGACGGCCUUCGGGUUGUAAACCGCUUUCGCCUGUGACGAAGCGUGAGAGACGGUAAUGGGUAAAGAAGCACCGGCUAACUACGUG